CCGAGAUCGACGGGCGGGACACGCGAUCAGCCGGCUUCAGUUUCUUUCGCAAGACCAGCGUUGAGCUCUGUAACGCAAUCGCCAAUCCGCAGCACGCAACCAGCCCUGCCAUUCUGCAGCGUCAUCUCGACCGGAUGGGCAGCGGCCGCCUGAAACAGGCUUUCGCCGCUACCGUUGGGCUUAGUCGUCCACAGCCAGGAUCGAAGCUGAAGCCGGUUGAACCGGACGUGCGGCAUGGUUUGUGGAAAGGGCUUCCGGCGCGAUCCCCGUCACCACGACAAGCAAUGGUUC
rnacentral:misc_RNA from 1 species